rnacentral:misc_RNA from 1 species
CGAAAAGCUAGCCCGCCCGGCCGUUGCUUGCAAGCCUCGCUCCGCAUUAUUGCCACCUGCCGCCGGCAGCCAGCGCGCGCGGCGCAACACGCAAGCAGAACAACGGUGUCUGUUCGGUUGUUGUUGUUGUUGGAGAGAGCGCGCGAUCCAAUCCAAGGAACCAGGGAGGAGGAGCGUGCAGUGCAGUGGCAGUGCAGGAGCGAUGGUGUUCUUCUGCUUCCUGGUGGACCAGCGGCGGACGGUGCGGAGCAGCAAGCCGGCGGCGGGGAUCUGCUCGCGCUGCGGCGGGUGCGCCAGCGUGGCGGACAUGGAGACCGCCACCAGGGUCUGCUACCUGCUCACCGUGCACCGGAGCACCUGGCGC